UACGUAGGGUGCAAGCGUUGUCCGGAAUUAUUGGGCGUAAAGAGCUCGUAGGCGGUUUGUCGCGUCUGCUGUGAAAACUCGGGGCUUAACCCCGGGCCUGCAGUGGGUACGGGCAGACUAGAGUGCGGUAGGGGAGACUGGAAUUCCUGGUGUAGCGGUGAAAUGCGCAGAUAUCAGGAGGAACACCGCUGGCGAAGGCGGGUCUCUGGGCCGUAACUGACGCUGAGGAGCGAAAGCGUGGGGAGCGAACAGG
rnacentral:rRNA from 1 species